rnacentral:rRNA from 1 species
ACGCAGCGAAACGCGAUAGGUAAUGUGAAUUGCAGAAUUCCGUGAAUCAUCGAAUCUUUGAACGCACCUUGCGCUCCAUGGUAUUCCGUGGAGCAUGCCUGUUUGAGUGCCGCGAAUUCUCCCUCCCCUUACGGUGGCCGAAAGGCCGAAGUAGGGCGGACGGGGUAGGAUGGGUGUUGCUGCCUGGGGAUUGUACCAGGCUCGCCCGAAAUGCAUAAGCGCCAGGACCCUCGCUACCGCUCUCUAGGGAAGAGUGGCUAAGCGACCGCUGAGCAUGGCAUGAUACGUCAUUUGCUGUGUGUGGGCGGCCGGUUGGAGAGGUGUCUGCUUUACCAGCCCUUUUUUAAUUCUGGUCUCAAAUCAGGUAGGAUCACCCGCUGAACUUAAGCAUAUCAU